rnacentral:rRNA from 1 species
UGAACUGCUGGCGGCAGGCCUAACACUUGCAAGUCGAGACGGAUGACGGGAGCUUGCUCCUGGAUUCAGCGGCGGACGGGUGAGUAAUGCCUAGGAAUCUGCCUGGUAGUGGGGGACAACGUUUCGAAAGGAACGCUAAUACCGCAUACGUCCUACGGGAGAAAGCAGGGGACCUUCGGGCCUUGCGCUAUCAGAUGAGCCUAGGUCGGAUUAGCUUGUUGGUGAGGUAAUGGCUCACCAAGGCGACGAUCCGUAACUGGUCUGAGAGGAUGAUCAGUCACACUGGAACUGAGACACGGUCCAGACUCCUACGGGAGGCAGCAGUGGGGAAUAUUGGACAAUGGGCGAAAGCCUGAUCCAGCCAUGCCGCGUGUGUGAAGAAGGUCUUCGGAUUGUAAAGCACUUUAAGUUGGGAGGAAGGGUUGUAGAUUAAUACUCUGCAAUUUUGACGUUACCGACAGAAUAAGCACCGGCUAACUCUGUGCCAGCAGCCGCGGUAAUACAGAGGGUGCAAGCGUUAAUCGGAAUUACUGGGCGUAAAGCGCGCGUAGGUGGUUUGUUAAGUUGGAUGUGAAAGCCCCGGGCUCAACCUGGGAACUGCAUCCAAAACUGGCAAGCUAGAGUACGGUAGAGGGUGGUGGAAUUUCCUGUGUAGCGGUGAAAUGCGUAGAUAUAGGAAGGAACACCAGUGGCGAAGGCGACCACCUGG